rnacentral:misc_RNA from 1 species
GAAGGAUAGAGUGGCAAUAAAUCACCUUAAAAAAAUGGUUCCAACCUUUGAAGACGUGGUUAUUAAUGUGUAUAUAACAAAAAAUAGCAGCAAGCCAUUGUAAAAAAAAGUCAUUUAUAUACGUACGUGUAAAAAAAACAUAUGUUUUACUACAUAUAUAUACACAUACAUAUGUAUAAGAAACUGCCCUUGGCGCCCACACGCGGUUCAGUCGGAAAUCGUCUUUGUUCUAAAAUUGUAUAUUUGCUCUUAAAUGUUCAUAUGUACAAUCAUACAUAAACAUGCAUAUGUGCGGUGCUAAGUGACUGAGAUAAUUCCAGAUAGCGUAUGCACACGAACGUUCUUUAUUUCAUUCUUUGCCGGACCUGUUCAUUAAAGCUCCCAUCUUUUUAUUAAUUUUAUUUUUUACAAUCGCUAUAAGUUUUCUGGAACCGUAAUGUUUUAUAAACUAUGUGCAUUUAUGUGUUUCUUGAUUGUUGUAGAGCAUAUCACAACCACCAUGUCCAGUGACAGCAUUUCGGGUUAUAUAAGAAAAUGUUGUAUAAAUGGACUUCGUCAUGCGCGUACCACCGCCUCCUGCAAAAAUAUAAACAUAGCCCCAACCAUAAUUCCACAGCUUUGGCUUGGACUUUGUCAUUCUACACUUGAAGUCUGCUGUUCUCGAGAACUGGACCAUCAAAAUUGUGAGCUAGGUCGACUGGCUGCUUUAGACGGUACUCGCUGCGACAGAGAAGGAAAUGUUACAUCUAGUUCGUACGCAACAUGUUGUCGUUCUUGUCAAAUUGGAUUGGCAGUUAAAGCGAGUAAAGCUAAUUGCAAAGAUCCAUUAUUUUCAUUUCUUUUCUCAAUUGAAUCAUACCGAACGUGCUGUCAAGAAGCUGCUGACCUUAACGACAAGCCCGAUAUUGACAAAAUUGAAUUUAAUGAAAAGGCUAAUUCUAUUACUGAGGGUGGUGAAUUACCAUUUGUUUCUGAAGAGGAUAUGAACGUAACUAUUGUCCUUACCGGCGAUGAUGACAUAUGUGGGAAAAUAGAAAACCUUUGUGCCCACAUAUGCGAAAACACUUUUGACGCAUACCAAUGUAAGUGCCACCCCGGGUUUAUAUUAGAUAAUAACAACGUAACAUGCUCUCCGAUGAAAACCCAAAUAUGUCCCAGUGGAUACAAUUUAGAUAAACUGGAUAACAAAUGCAUUGAUAUUGAUGAAUGCCGGGAAGAAAUUCAUGACUGCAAAUCAUCCCAAUACUGCCAUAAUACUAAUGGCGGAUUCCACUGCUUAAAUGUGAAAGCAAAUGACUGCCCACCCGGAUUUCAUUAUGAACAUGAUUUCGAUGAAUGUAAAGAUGAGUACAAAUGCAAGGAUCGCAAAUGUGUUAAUGGUCAAUCUUGUGAUAGAGGUUUCAGUUUUAAAAACGGUACCUGUACAGAUAUUGACGAGUGCUCACAUAACACAUUAAACAACUGCCAUGGCAUUAGUAAUCAGGAUUGUAUUAACACCGUUGGAAGCUAUACCUGCAAUUGCCAGGCUGGAUUUAAUUUGGAUGCCACUCUAAAUAAGUGUGUUGAUAUAAAUGAAUGUUCAAUAAAUAAUCACAACUGCCUUCCAACACAGAGAUGUGAUAACACGAUCGGAUCAUAUAUAUGCACGCGACUUCAAAGCUGCGGCACAGGAUAUACCUUGAAUGCGGAAACGGGGAAUUGCGACGGCGUAUGGACUGCUCCCCUGGAUUUUAUAGGAAUAAUGUUGGUGCCUGCGUUGACACAAAUGAAUGUAUGGAAAAAAAUCCCUGCGGUAACCAUGAACGAUGCAUUAACACAAAUGGGCAUUUUCGCUGUGAAAGCUUGAUCCAGUGCUCGCCCGGCUACAAAUCAACAGCGGACGGUAAAUCUUGCAUAGACAUUGAUGAGUGCAAUACUGGUGAGCACAACUGUGGUGAAAGGCAGAUUUGCCGUAAUCGAAACGGUGGCUUUGUGUGCUCCUGCCCUAUAGGUCAUGAACUCAAGCGACACAGUAUUGGUAGUAGUACAUGUGUUGACACGAACGAAUGUGCACUAGAGCAACGUGUAUGCCCAUUAAACGCGGAAUGCUUUAACACCAUUGGGUCUUACUAUUGUGAGUGCAAAUCUGGGUUUCAAAAGAAAUCUGACAGUAAUAAUAGCACACAAUGUUUUGAUAUCGAUGAGUGUCAAGUGAUUCCGGGACUUUGUCAACAAAAAUGUCUUAACUUUUGGGGAGGAUAUCGAUGCACAUGUAACUCUGGAUACCAACUAGGACAGGACAACCGCACAUGCAAUGAUAUAAAUGAAUGUGAAGUACAUAAGGAUUACAAACUUUGUAUGGGAUUAUGCAUUAACACUCCUGGAUCCUAUCAAUGUUCCUGUCCCCGUGGAUAUAUGUUGUCUGCAGAUAUGAAUACGUGUCGCGAUAUCGAUGAAUGCGCAACAGAUUCCAUUAAUCAAGUUUGUACUGGCCGGG